UACGUAGGGGGCAAGCGUUGUCCGGAAUCAUUGGGCGUAAAGAGCGCGUAGGCGGCCCUGUAAGUCCGCUGUGAAAGUCAAGGGCUCAACCCUUGGAUGCCGGUGGAUACUGCAGGGCUAGAGUCCGGAAGAGGAGAGUGGAAUUCCUGGUGUAGCGGUGAAAUGCGCAGAUAUCAGGAAGAACACCAAUGGCGAAGGCAGCUCUCUGGGACGGUACUGACGCUGAGACGCGAAAGCGUGGGGAGCGAACAGG
rnacentral:rRNA from 1 species